AAUGAACGCUGGCGCGUGCCUAACACAUGCAAGUCGUACGAGAAAUCCCGAGCUUGCUUGGGAGAGUAAAGUGGCGCACGGGUGAGUAACGCGUGGGCAACCCACCCUCGAAUCUGGGAUAACUCCGCGAAAGCGGUGCUAAUACCGGAUAAGACCACAUUCCGUUCGCGGAAAGAGGUAAAAGCUGACCUCUCCAUGGAAGUUAGCGUUCGAGGACGGGCCCGCGUCCUAUCAGCUUGUUGGUGGGGUAAUGGCCUACCAAGGCAGCGACGGGUAGCUGGUCUGAGAGGAUGAUCAGCCACACUGGAACUGGAACACGGUCCAGACUCCUACGGGAGGCAGCAGUGAGGAAUUUUGCGCAAUGGGGGAAACCCUGACGCAGCAACGCCGCGUGGGUGAAGAAGGCUUUCGGGUCGUAAAGCCCUGUCAGGUGGGAAGAAACUCUUCAGUACUAAUAAUGCUGAAGCCUGACGGUACCACCAGAGGAAGCACCGGCCAACUCCGUG
rnacentral:rRNA from 1 species